AUACGUAGGGGGCGAGCGUUGUCCGGAAUGAUUGGGCGUAAAGGGCGCGUAGGCGGCCCGGUAAGUCUGGAGUGAAAGUCCUGUUUUUAAGAUGGGAAUUGCUUUGGAUACUGUCGGGCUUGAGUGCAGGAGAGGUAAGUGGAAUUCCCAGUGUAGCGGUGAAAUGCGUAGAGAUUGGGAGGAACACCAGUGGCGAAGGCGACUUACUGGACUGUAACUGACGCUGAGGCGCGAAAGUGGGGGGAGCAAACAGGAUUAGAUACCCUGGUAGUCCACACUGUAAACGAUGAAUGCUAGGUGUAAGAGGUAUCGACCCCAUUUGUGCCGGAGUUAACACAAUAAGCAUUCCGCCUGGGGAGUACGGCCGCAAGGUUGAAACUCAAAUGAAUUGGCGGGG
rnacentral:rRNA from 1 species